rnacentral:misc_RNA from 1 species
GCGGAACCAAAGGUUUCGAGCUUUGUCAACUGUGAUAUCAGUGGUUUUGACACCAUUGAUAGGUUUCCUGGAUGGAGAAGUUCUGAGGUCGAAGAAGCACAUGAGAAAGCGGUUGACUGUGCCAUUGGAGCGACGGUUGAUGUCAAAGGAGAAGGAGAGAGCCGAUAUGAAGAGGUUAACAUUCCAUGGGAGGUCCGGCCACUGUGGAUCAUCGUUUUGGGCCAUUUUCGUCUCUCUUGGAUGAGUAGCAGGAAAUGAAUGCUAUGUAGACUAUAGAGAAGGAUUAAGGGUCAGC